UUUGAAGCAAACGUAAGGCUCACUGUGCAGCUGUGGCACGGAGCUCUGCAGAAACGAAACUUACCGGCCCAGCUGAGCGGAGCGCGUGAAGCUGCUGACGCCUCGGUGUGAGUUUGCGGGAACAGCGCGUGCCUUCCGUUUGGCGCUCCAGCAGAAAUGUUGGUGGUCUCAGUCAAGUCCCGCUCACUUCCCGUCCCACAUUAAAAACACUUUCCGCCGUCAGUGUCAGUGUCAGUCUGUCUGUGUGUCUGAGUUUGUGUGUCCUCGCGCUGCAGACAGCUCGUGCAGCACACCUGGAGAAAACUGAUCUGUAUUUAAAUGAUGGCGGGUGUCACGUGGAUCCUGACCGUUCUGUGUGCUGCGGGAUGUCACCUGUCUUCAGCCUCACCUGUUCACAGCUCCACCCUGGUGGUGCCCGUGGGCCACAACGUCUUUCUGCUCUGCAACGUGACGCCCAGCGAUGAGAUCACCUGGUACCUGCUGCGCUCAGAGCAGCUGCUGCCUCUGUUAACUGUUAAAAAGGGGAAGUUUGUUGACACCACUGACAAUCACACAAACAACCAUCGGAUGAACUGUAACGGGACGCUGCAGACCGGCCUGGUCAGCCUGGAGAUCCAGGAGGUGGAGGAGGAGGAUGCUGGGCUGUACUUCUGCAUCGGGAGGUUUGCAGCUAAGAUGCACGUUAACAGAGGAAUUCAGCUGACUGUGGACGGAGGUGCCGGGCGGUCGUCCACAGACCGGAUGAGGCAGCCGUGUUUGAGUCUGGGGCUCUGCCUUCUCCCGGCGCUGCUCGCCCUCUGCUUCGUCUGCGUGGCUGGAUGCUACCUGUGGUCAGGUAAACCUGUUUGCUCCUGCUGUAACCCACGGAGACGGGACGCCGAUCACCGGGUCACAGAGGAAGAGUCUUUGCAUUAUUCCAGCCUGAAGCAUCCAGACAAGCCCCGCCCCACCACCAGGAGAGGAACCGGAUUGGCUGAAGAGAAGGUCCUGUACUCAACAGUGAACACGUGCAAGAACUCAAAGGCAUCACAUCACCACAGAUAGAAGCACUUUAAAUGAGCGUAAAUGAUUUUUUUAAAUUAAUAAAACUGUGAAAAUGUUUGAUUAGUAGAUUUCAAAAUCUAGAUUUUAGUUUAUUUUUUUGUGUUUUUUGUGUAAACAGUGAAGAUUUAUUUUUCAGUGAGCAGAAAAACAGAGAGUUUAAGAACCUUUAAAUGUUAAAUAUCCAGAAAGUUGCAAUGAAAAUAAAAUGUUUGUAAAACAUUCCUGUUAAUAAUAAAGUAACAGCCAUAAAUGUAAAUGCUGCCACAGCAGGGAGACUUUCAAAAAACAAUUACUGAACUAAAGAAAAUCUAUAUUUACCCAUAAAUGUGUGAAUAGUUUCCUCGGGUCAGUUUUUAAUCUUCAUGUCUGUGAGUUUGUUUUCUUGCUGUGUUUAAACAUCUGUCUGCUGUGCUGCUCUGAGUCUGUGUGACAUCCUCUGCUUCCAUGAACAGAUUCCACACUUUGCUUGUCUUUUACUAAUAAACUGAUUCUGACACCACGAUCUGUCCUGACCUCUGUUUAUAAAGACGGCAGCCUGUCCAGAUGUGACACUCCACAUGUGUAAACGACUCCUCGGUGUAACAUGUAAAGUCUCUGUGAAACCAGCUCUGCUGCCUGAAGCAGACAGUGAAAGUGAAACAUGAAAACCAAACUGACUGACAGGAGUUUAACAGCUUGUGUUACAGGUGUAUUUUGGCCAAAGUGAAACUAAGCUGCACUUUCACACAGGGAUGUGAUUUUAAAGCUUCCCGUCACACGACUGUACAUUCAGACUUUAGCUUUCAGAGUUUGUGCUCAGCUCUCGCUGCAGGUCUGCUGAUGACGGAGGAGUAGAUGACGCUGUGGUGGCUCUGCUCCGGCGGACUCCUGCUGGGUCUCUCCCUCCAGUUCUGUCGGCCCAGAGAGGCGUAGUGGAUCGUCUCCCCACAGAGGGGCGGGGUCUCUAAGUCCUCACCCUCUGCAGACAGACACACCUUUUUAAUCCUUCAUAGACUGAUGUGAGGACAUCGAACACCUGGUGAGGUUACCUGUCGGUGCGCUGGACGUCGUCCACGGCUGCAGCUCCGUGUCGUCACGUGUCGGUGCUGCUACACGCAGAGGUGGUGAUGAAGAGAUGAAGAGCACAGGAUCUUCAGAAAACAUGCUGAGUCUAAUACUGGAUCCUUUUGGAUUAUCAUAGCAACAUCCAUAUUUUUACAUGUGCUGAUUCAUGUUUUAAAGACAAACACAGCUUUGUUUAUCUGAAGCUGCAAAAAAGAAUCAGUCAGCUCUCAUCAAUAAAAUCCUUUUAAACAUAAAUGAAUCAGCCAACACGCUUCAAACUGCAUUAAAUAUAAUAAACAUGUCGACUUUUCACUGAAUAAUAAAUAAUAAUUAAAAAUACAGAUAAUGAUACAUGAAAAAAGUUCAGUAUGAAAAACUGUGAAGCAGUGAAGGUGAAUAAUCUGAAGAUUUCAAAUAUAAAUAUUUUUAAUCAAAUAUUCAACAUAAAUAAAUGAAUGAAUUCAUUAAAAAAACCUUUGAUGAUAAAAACUUUCUCAUGUCCCCAAAAUCAUAGUUUCUUCUUUUUUUAUCACAACAUUUAGAAUCAUUUACUCUUUCACUGAAUUCACUCAAACUAAAUGAGAGGAAACAGCCGCACUCUGUGUAGUACCAGGCUGUGCCAGAAGGUGGCGCAGAGUGUCAUAGUCUCAGGCAGGAAUACUUCUAACAGCAUCCACCUGCACACACCCUGAGCUGUGUUGGCCGAUUAUUUAAACCCAGGAACUUAAAUCCAAACGUUUCCAGUUAAAAUGAAACGAAACACAAACGUUCACCUGCAGCUCUGCGUUUCUUCCUCCUGCACUUCAUGCUGGUCAGCAACACACAGACAGCAGCUAAGAAGAUGAUCAUCAAGCCCACACUGACGACAGCAACCAGCAGCAGAACUGAGAGCGCACACAACAUCUGGUCCAUGAACAUGUGACACAUCUGGCAGAAAACUACAGGUGAUUUAUAACCGGACUGACCGUUCUCAGGUCUCGUGUUGCUCUUCUUCUUUAUUUCUUCCACUUCUAAUAAACAGAACGAGAGGACGCACACACCCACACUCGUCACACACUUGCAACAUUUAAAUAUUAAAGAUCAUGUCAAAGUAUAUCCAAAUAAUCACAAUGAAUAAAACAAAGAAAUCUAAUUUUAGGAUUAAGAUUGUGUAUAUUUCACACACAACUAAAUAAAGACAACAUUUGCAGCCACAGACAGAUUUAAGGAAGUAUGACAUAGAUCCAUUUAUAACGCAGCACAUGGGACAGGUUUGUUAAAUCCAUGUAAGGUUUGAUUGAAGACAGCAGCACUGUGUCACAGCUGUUACAUGUUUGAGUGUAGAUGUAUGAUGAUGUGUGUGGUGUCACCUGCUGUCACGACUGCAGGUGAUGGAGUUGUGCUGGUGGACGGAGGCUGGCUGCUCGUCUCUGCGUGUGCUGGGAAUAAAAACAGUUUCUGCUUUUACAAACAGAAGUAUUUUAAUUCAAAUGUGUGCUGUUUACCUGUAAAUACACAUAAAAAACCAAAACAUGAACAUGUGUAAAAUACAGACAAAAUGAAACCGGCAGGUGAGUCCAGGCUGGACCGACCCACCUGUGAGGACCGUGACUCUGGCCUGCAGCACCCCGUUGCAGACGUACUCUCCAGCGUCCUCUGGCUGCAGGUCCUGGAUCUGCAGGGCGUCAUUGGUGAAGCUCAGCCGGCCGCCGCCCCUCUCUGGUUUCACCGUACCGUUUCUGUACUUGGUGAGGACGGCCUCCCGCCUCUCGCCCUCCCUCUGCUGGAACCACCUCUGUUUGGGUUUGGAGGAGCCGCUGCAGGGGAGCAGCAGCGUCCGGCCUGCGGACACCGUGUAGUCCCGACCU
ensembl:lncRNA